UACGGAGGGUGCAAGCGUUGUCCGGAUUUAUUGGGUUUAAAGGGUGCGUAGGCGGCCGCGUAAGUCUGGGGUGAAAGCCCGUUGCUCAACAACGGAACUGCCCUGGAAACUGCGCGGCUUGAGUACAGACGAGGUUGGCGGAAUGGAUGCUGUAGCGGUGAAAUGCAUAGAUAGCAUCCAGAACCCCGAUUGCGAAGGCAGCUGACUAGGCUGUAACUGACGCUGAGGCACGAAAGCGUGGGGAGCGAACAGG
rnacentral:rRNA from 1 species